rnacentral:rRNA from 1 species
GACGAACGCUGGCGGCGUGCCUAAUACAUGCAAGUAGAACGCUGAAGAGAGGAGCUUGCUCUUCUUGGAUGAGUUGCGAACGGGUGAGUAACGCGUAGGUAACCUGCCUUGUAGCGGGGGAUAACUAUUGGAAACGAUAGCUAAUACCGCAUAACAAUGGAUGACACAUGUCAUUUAUUUGAAAGGGGCAAAUGCUCCACUACAAGAUGGACCUGCGUUGUAUUAGCUAGUAGGUGAGGUAACGGCUCACCUAGGCGACGAUACAUAGCCGACCUGAGAGGGUGAUCGGCCACACUGGGACUGAGACACGGCCCAGACUCCUACGGGAGGCAGCAGUAGGGAAUCUUCGGCAAUGGGGGCAACCCUGACCGAGCAACGCCGCGUGAGUGAAGAAGGUUUUCGGAUCGUAAAGCUCUGUUGUAAGUCAAGAACGAGUGUGAGAGUGGAAAGUUCACACUGUGACGGUAGCUUACCAGAAAGGGACGGCUAACUACGUGCCAGCAGCCGCGGUAAUACGUAGGUCCCGAGCGUUGUCCGGAUUUAUUGGGCGUAAAGCGAGCGCAGGCGGUUUGAUAAGUCUGAAGUUAAAGGCUGUGGCUCAACCAUAGUUCGCUUUGGAAACUGUCAAACUUGAGUGCAGAAGGGGAGAGUGGAAUUCCAUGUGUAGCGGUGAAAUGCGUAGAUAUAUGGAGGAACACCGGUGGCGAAAGCGGCUCUCUGGUCUGUAACUGACGCUGAGGCUCGAAAGCGUGGGGAGCGAACAGGAUUAGAUACCCUGGUAGUCCACGCCGUAAACGAUGAGUGCUAGGUGUUGGAUCCUUUCCGGGAUUCAGUGCCGCAGCUAACGCAUUAAGCACUCCGCCUGGGGAGUACGACCGCAAGGUUGAAACUCAAAGGAAUUGACGGGGGCCCGCACAAGCGGUGGAGCAUGUGGUUUAAUUCGAAGCAACGCGAAGAACCUUACCAGGUCUUGACAUCCCGAUGCUAUUUCUAGAGAUAGAAAGUUACUUCGGUACAUCGGUGACAGGUGGUGCAUGGUUGUCGUCAGCUCGUGUCGUGAGAUGUUGGGUUAAGUCCCGCAACGAGCGCAACCCCUAUUGUUAGUUGCCAUCAUUCAGUUGGGCACUCUAGCGAGACUGCCGGUAAUAAACCGGAGGAAGGUGGGGAUGACGUCAAAUCAUCAUGCCCCUUAUGACCUGGGCUACACACGUGCUACAAUGGUUGGUACAACGAGUUGCGAGUCGGUGACGGCAAGCUAAUCUCUUAAAGCCAAUCUCAGUUCGGAUUGUAGGCUGCAACUCGCCUACAUGAAGUCGGAAUCGCUAGUAAUCGCGGAUCAGCACGCCGCGGUGAAUACGUUCCCGGGCCU